rnacentral:rRNA from 1 species
AUUGAACGCUGGCGGCAGGCCUAACACAUACAAGUCGAACGAGUGGCGGACGGGUGAGGAAUGUCUGGGAAACUGCCCGAUGGAGGGGGAUAACUACUGGAAACGGUAGCUAAUACCGCAUACCAUCGGAUGUGCCCAGAUGGGAUUAGCUAGUAGGGGGGGUAACGGCUAACAUAGGCGACGAUCCCUAGCUGGUCGGAGAGGAUGACCAGCCACACUGGAACUGAGACACGGUCCAGACGCCUAAGGGAGGCAGCAGUGGGGAAUAUUGCACAAUGGGCGCAAGCCGGAUACAGCCAUGCCGCGGGUAGGAAGAAGGCCUUCGGGUUGUAAAGUACUUUCAGCGAGGAGGCGUUACUCGCAGAAGAAGCACCGGCUAACUCCGUGCCAGCAGCCGCGGUAAUUC